rnacentral:rRNA from 1 species
CAGAUUUAGCCAUGCAUGUGUAAGCGAAGCUAUAUGUGGAGCGGUGAAAGGCUCAGUAACGGGCGAUUUAUUUAAUUUCCUGGGACGGACAACAUCGGGAAACUGAUGGGAAAACGUCUAAGUUGCAUUUAAUAUUAGUGUGACGUAAACGGUAAACGUGCAGGAGAGUAAGAUGCCAUCCUAUCAGUUAGUAAGUAGGGUAAGGGCCUACUUAGACGAAGACGGGUACGGGGAAUGAGGGUUUGAUUCCGGAGAGGGAGCCUGAGAGAUGGCUACCAGGACCAAGGUCAGCAGCAGGCGCGAAAAUUAUCGAAGCCCGCCUAGGGGCGAUAGUGAGGAGACGUGUAUAACGAAGUACGUGUAAAGAACGUACUAAUAACUGGAGGUCAAGUCUGGUGCCAGCAUCCGCGGUAAUUCCAGCUCCAGGGGUGUCUAUGAUGAUUGCUGCGAUUAAAAAGUCCGUAGUCAAGCUGASUGACUGACCUGCAAUGUGAUUGAUCAAAGAACGAGCAGGGUUAGGAAAGCAGAGAAUUAGGAGCGACCCGAGGGCUAGAGUAUUGAAUGGCGAGAGGUGAAAUUUGAUGACCCCAUUCAGGAGUGACAAAAGGCGAAGGCACUAGUCAACGGCGAAUCCGAUGAUCAAGGACGUAGGCUAGAGUUUCGAAAACGAUUAGAGACCGGAGUAGUUCUAGCAGUAAACUAUGCCGACGCCGUGAUAUCGUUUUUUUGUGCGUAUUGCGGAAGAGAAAUCAAGUAAGGCUUUGGGGAGAGUACGCGCGCAAGCGAUAAAUUUAAAGGAAAUGACGGAGGAACACCACAAGGAGGGGAGUGCGGCGCU